AAUAAAAUGGCCCGCAGGUCGAAUUAGGUUGGGCAUCACUGGUGUAACAGAUACUGGUAUUGACUGCCAAAAAUAGGUGGAUGGUUGAAAUGCGUCCAGUUUAUUAGAAGUUUAAAAGGAGAGAAUGUUCCGGCAUAACUAGACAGUCACAGAUUCCUUAAAUAAGCCAACAUGUGAGAUAAAUGGUUGAAGCAAUGAAAAGAGGGAAAGGAUGGACCCCUGAUGGGUAUGACUUUGUGGACAGCACACAUUUUAUUGAUGCAAACUUUGAUGAUAUAAUGAAAAAUCUGAAACCCUCAGCUAUUCCUACAAUAUUUCAGUGUCAUAACGAUGCAGCUUCCUGGCCAGUUAAAAAGAAGGAAAAAUAAAGUCUUAAGGUGAAAGAAGAAAUUGUACAAUUCAAAGAGACUUCUGAUAUAUUAUAAAGAGAAAGUUCAAUGUUUACGAGAGGAGUUAUAGAAAAGCCAACCUCACCUAAAAAGGUUAUAAUGGGAUGAACAAAUGCAUGCUGUGAUGGAUCACCAGGGAUGAACAAAUGCAUGCUGUAAUGAAUCACCAGGGAUAAGCAAAUGCAUGCUGUAAUGGAUCACCAGGGAUGAGCAAAUGCAUGCUGUGAUGGAUCACCAGUGAUGAACAUAUGCAUGCUGUAAUGGAUCACCUGGGAUGAACAAAUGCAUGCUGUAAUGGAUCACCUGGGAUGAACAAAUGCAUGCUGUAAUGGAUCACCAUUAAUGGAUGCUGACAGCUGCCAUGUCAUGAUUGCCUUUAUAUGUGGACAAAUAAGCCUAUACAGUAUUUCCAAGAAUGAGAACUUUGCAGGGUAAAGUCAUUUGACUUACAAGCCUCUUAGAGACCACUGGGACAUUGUUCUGGGCUGCCUUUGGUAUGGGGAACUCUCAGGCACCAGCUAUUAAAGAAGAAACAAAUAGCAGUCAGGUUAAUGGUGGCUCAGAGAUAAGAGACAGUGUGCUGCUGAAAGUCAUUGAGGUGGUUGGCUACGUUUUGUAUGGAGUUUACAUUCUUGAUGCUGUCGUGGUCCUGAUCAACUUGUUCAUUGCUAUGAUGAAUUUGAAGACAUUUAGAAUGUCCAAAAGAUAAGUCAGCUAAGGAGCCUAAAAUGUUAGCCUGUUUACAAAUAUGAGAUCUUCCUUGACUACACAAGUACCUUACAAAAGAAGGCUACUCACUUGUGUUUGGAUAUGUCAGCUGUUUUGUCCCUGUGGCCCUUUUCAAGCAUGACAGAUACUAUUCUAAGCAGCUUUUUUCUCUGGAAAUUUUUCAACCACGGAAGCUGUGAGGGAUAUCUGAAAUCCAUUGCUUACUUGUCUAGAAAGACUUCCAUCGAUUGAGUGAUAAAAGAUUAAGUGUACACAACUUUUAGUAGUCACCACAUAACACUUAACAUUUUGCUGCUCAAGACAAUACUGUUCAUGAAUGGUUUAUUUUUCUUUAUGCUGAGAGUGUCCAAGAAAGAUAAGGUCAAAGGUUAAUUGGACAAACAAUAAACUUUGUCUUUGAAUCUGAAAUUGUAGAACUUGUAGAGAAAAAAAACAACUUAGUGUUGUUGUUAAUUUACCAGGUACCAGGUACCUACUAUUCAUUUACUUUGACUGUUGACUUUAAGUUAGAAAUUAAGGAAAGAUUUCUUUGAGCUAUAUUUGUCAAUGACCAUAGGCAUUAAGAGAGUUGACACCUCAUUUUACUUUUCAACAAGAUGAUGUCUUAAAAAAAUUAAGAGCUUUUGAUGGAAUUCUGUGGUUGAAUAACAUAAGGAAUAAUCACAGGAUUCCAUCAAAAUCAUUGCAAUUUGAACAUUGUUGGUAGUGUCGAUGUUAUUAAGUUUUUUAGUUCUUGGUGUUACUACAUUAUUCAUUUUCUAGUGACCAGGCAGUGUUUUAUACCAUGAAUGAAUAUGUUGUAAGAGGUUUAAGGUAUACCACUCAAUCAAUAAUAUCUUUGACAAUAAAAUAUUUUGAUCAAGUUUAUAUUUUUGGAACAGAAUAUGCUAAUGUGUUAAAUGUACAUUUUUCUUUUUUUUAUGGAAUA